AAACUAAAGUUCGGAUUAAAGGAAAACACUUCACUAACAAAUGUGCACAUGGUGGUUUAACACACAACGACAAAAAGAAAAGAAAAUGGGUUCCAGAGAACAAAGUUUUUGAUGGUAGUUUAAAAGAAGGUCAGGGAUUUGCCUUCAAAAGGAAGGAGAAGAUAAAACAUGAAUAUAACAAACUUCUCUGAAAAGAGGAAGAAAAUGCAAGCAUCACCAAUCCAGUUAGAGGAGGAAUAUCCCGAGCAUCUGAGACAUCUGUACCUGACUGAAAAAGAACGACUAGAUGAAGAAGAACAAGAAAAAAAGAAGAAAAGAUGUAAAGGGAGAACAUUAGAUGAAGAGACAGAAGCAGAUGAUGAACUAAAAACAGUGUUGGAUUUACCUUUUACUGAGAAACACAUCUCAAACACAACGACUGACCAAACUACCGUCUCUGAUUCAGAUAAUGAACCAGCAUAGACUGACAGGUACAGUAACAGCUAGUAA